GUUAGAUAGUAAACAUAUGUCAUUCAAAAAUUAUUGAAAAUGAUGAUGUGUCUAUGCUACGCUGGAGUGGACAUAUAGUUUUGUACUAAUAUGCGUAUAAGUUUUGGGCUUUAUGUAUGUGGGCUUUAGACUAUCAACAAAGAAAUAUAUUAUACAUAGAAACGUAUACAUUUAUUGUUUAUCUUAAACCUAAUUUUGUUUUUUUUCAAUCGCCGCUAUUACGAUGCAUUAUUUUGUGUCUUGAUAAUCUCAAAAUUCGAUAUUCGACGGAGUUUUAACCUUGAAAUUUCUUAAUGCAACAUCCAUUCUAGUUGGAUUUGGAAGGUGAACAUAGCAUCAAUAUUUAAGGAGGUGCAAGCAAGUGAUCGGUCUCCAUGGACACUACACUACAUGUAUUUCCCAGAGUGCGUUGAAUCAAAAUCGGGUCACACGAGUGCAGAGGGAAUAGGAAACGCGAUGGCAUCGUCUGCGUGUAUCGUACUUGGUGUAGCAUAUUAACAUGUGUCGUAAAGGAAAAGCUGCAUGCAUGUAUUCCCUUUUCCCUCUCAACCGCAUUUGUUUUUCACAUACAAAAAUGUGUAUAUAUAUCUUACUAUUAAAAUAAAACAGAAAAUUCAUAAAGAAAAGAAAGUGCUGAAUGUUGAUGAUACUUAAAAUACAAUUGACCUAUUGUUAAAAAAAACGAAAAACUGCACGGAAAUAUGAUAAUAACGUAGAGGAGAAAACAUAGAAUAAACAAAAAAAUUAACUUAUGCCUUCACGUUAGAGUUAGGUUUUAUUUUUCUUGAUUUUUGUUUUGAUGUUGUCCAUGAUAUUUUGUUGGAGGAUGUUCAUGGGACAGA